rnacentral:rRNA from 1 species
GAUGAACGCUGGCGGCGUGCCUAAUACAUGCAAGUCGAGCGAACAGACGAGGAGCUUGCUCCUCUGACGUUAGCGGCGGACGGGUGAGUAACACGUGGAUAACCUACCUAUAAGACUGGGAUAACUUCGGGAAACCGGAGCUAAUACCGGAUAAUAUAUUGAACCGCAUGGUUCAAUAGUGAAAGACGGUUUUGCUGUCACUUAUAGAUGGAUCCGCGCCGCAUUAGCUAGUUGGUAAGGUAACGGCUUACCAAGGCAACGAUGCGUAGCCGACCUGAGAGGGUGAUCGGCCACACUGGAACUGAGACACGGUCCAGACUCCUACGGGAGGCAGCAGUAGGGAAUCUUGCGCAAUGGGGGAAAGCUUGACGGAGCAACGCCGCGUGAGUGAUGAAGGUCUUCGGAUCGUAAAACUCUGUUGUUAGGGAAGAACAAAUGUGUAAGUAACUAUGCACGUCUUGACGGUACCUAAUCAGAAAGCCACGGCUAACUACGUG